UAGUGUUACUUAAUAGCAGCAUGGAUAAGGGUAACUAGAAGGAGGGUGGUGAUUUCAAAGUCAGAUGGAUCCCUGAAAGCCCAGCCGAGCAUGGGCUUGUGGAAGCCGCAUUCCUGGAGCUUUCUCCCGACUUGAAGGUAGCUCCAUAGAAAUGGAUUCCAUCAAUUACUCAUUCUUAUAAAACCUCGGCAGACGCCUCAUGGCUUUAACCUGUGAGUUCCAGGUCGCACAACCGAGGGGAAUUAAACCUGCAGAUGGAAUUAAGGCUACUAAUGAUUGAACCUUACAAGAAAGAGAGAUUAUCCAGGAGGGCCCAAGGGGCAGAAAUGGACCAAGGUAAGAGGUUUGAUGCUUGCUGCAAACACACCAGAGACUGAUCCCUCUUUGGUUUUGUUAUCUAGCAUCUACUGAAGUACCUUUUGCAUAUUGAAGGCAUCAAAAAUAGUUUGUUAAACCAAUACAUAAUUGAAAACCGUUUACCGAUGGUGGAUAUAUUUAUUAUUUGUUGUCACUUCCUCAGACAGACACUCUUAAAAAUACAGAUUUUAUGGGCUAUGUUAUUUAUUAUGGCCAAAUAAAAAAGAAAUUAAGCUUGGCUAAAACUCAACCAUUGUCUUGUCUUCUCCAGUGGAAGCCCUCUGGAUGCCCUGUGUUGGUGGGAGGAAAUCGGCUAAUUUGUCGUCUUUAUGGUUUUAUAAAAAAAAAAUCCCCAUUGUGGUUUUCAUUAGAAAAGCAUCUUGCAAUGAAAUAUGGGUCUGACCGCAUUAGGAGUUUUACUAGCUUUCCGGGAGGGGGCUUUCUCCACGGGUUUUCAGACACUGCUCUGCAAGUUCAAGAAUGUCAGGGACAGCUGCAUCAAAUCAAUUUGGUGAUUAACUAAAACUGGGGCUGCAGCUUCUACACAUGAAGGAUAUUAAGGAUUCAUAGGCAUUAACCCCACUUCCUAACCACUUCUACCCCCAUUCCCAGCUACAAACACCAGAAAACAAGCCUGUCCCUGAAGGGGGUUCCAAUCAAGUUCAAUAAAGGCAAACUGUUGAUCUGUUUGGCCAAUGACAUUUGGGGUGACUAACCCUAUGGGCUUGGUUUUCUCCGAUGCAUAAUAGCCGGUUAAGAACUGUGGUGAGGUAGGGGGGUCUCAGCGCUCUCAUGCCCUUGGAGGUGGAAGGCUUCCUGAUGCACUGUUUGGUGACCUGGUCCAGAGCUUUCCCCAUCUUUCCCUGGUGGACCUGAAGAGGCAACGGUGUCGCUUCCCACUGUAUUCGUGAGUAAAGGGAAAAAUUAAUAAAAGCCUAAAAACCUGGGACUCCAAAGCCCAAAUAGAAGGCAGCCCAACAGACAAGGUUAAACAAAGGUCCAGUUGACUCAAGGCCUUAGACCAGAUAUCACCCCCUAGUGCAGUGUCCACAUUCCUCUAAUACAAAGAGAAUCAGAUAGUUAUUAAUUGUAGAAGUCCCCGGCCCAGGAGAUAAUUAACAAACUCAUUUUCUCUGCGCAUCCUCCUUAAUUGCACCUUGCCUGAAGCAUACAACCAUUUGUCCUUUGUAACCACGGAAUCUUGGGUAAUCUUGUAAUCUUG
rnacentral:lncRNA from 1 species